rnacentral:rRNA from 1 species
AUUGAACGCUGGCGGCAGGCCUAACACAUGCAAGUCGAGCGGAUGAAGGGAGCUUGCUCCUGGAUUCAGCGGCGGACGGGUGAGUAAUGCCUAGGAAUCUGCCUGGUAGUGGGGGAUAACGUCCGGAAACGGGCGCUAAUACCGCAUACGUCCUGAGGGAGAAAGUGGGGGAUCUUCGGACCUCACGCUAUCAGAUGAGCCUAGGUCGGAUUAGCUAGUUGGUGGGGUAAAGGCCUACCAAGGCGACGAUCCGUAACUGGUCUGAGAGGAUGAUCAGUCACACUGGAACGUAGACACGGUCCAUACUCCUACGGGAGGCAGCAGUGGGGAAUAUUGGACAAUGGGCGAAAGCCUGAUCCAGCCAUGCCGCGUGUGUGAAGAAGGUCUUCGGAUUGUAAAGCACGUUAAGGUGGGAGGAAGGGCAGUAAGUUAAUACCUUGCUGUUUUGACGUUACCAACAGAAUAAGCACCGGCUAACUUCGUG